rnacentral:tRNA from 1 species
GUUGAGAUAGCUCAGUUUGGUAGAGCAUAGGAUUGAAAAUCCUUGUGUCGCCAGUUCAAUUCUGGUUCUUAACA